rnacentral:rRNA from 1 species
ACACGGAGGGUGCAAGCGUUAAUCGGAAUUACUGGGCGUAAAGCGCGCGUAGGCGGCUGAUUAAGUCGGAUGCGAAAUCCCUGGGCUCAACCUAGGAACUGCAUCCGAUACUGGUCAGCUAGAGUUUUGGAGAGGUAAGUGGAAUUUCCGGUGUAGCGGUGAAAUGCAUAGAGAUCGGAAGGAACACCAGUGGCGAAGGCGACUUACCGGCCAAAAACUGACGCUGAGGUGCGAAAGCGUGGGUAGCGAACAGGAUUAGAAACCCUAGUAGUCC